rnacentral:lncRNA from 1 species
CGAUGAUGACUUUGUUGUUGGCCAUGUGAACCAAAGUUCCUGUGACAGUGAAAUGGAGCAAGAAUCAACCUAUACAGCACAGGGAAUCCAGAUCUUGAUUCAGACAACAAAGAAAACAGAAAUGCAAAGAAACAGAGGCCAGAGAGUUUGCAGUGCUGAACCGGUUGGAGAGAAGGCUGGCCCGGAGCCAGGUCUGUGUGGCCCACAGCCCAGGUUCUUGCCUCUGUCCCGCUGCCUUGCGGCUGGAGCGUGGGGGC